GCUGGGCACAGUGGUGCAGGCCUGUAAUCCCAGCAGCUUGGGAGGCUGAGGCAGGAGGAUUUCAGGCCCUAUGCAACUCAGCAAGAUCCUGUCUCCA
rnacentral:sRNA from 1 species